AUUUAAAUAGUUUAACAUUAAAAUAUUGAUUUGUGGAAUCAAAGAUAUAAUAUUAUUAUUUUAAAUA
rnacentral:tRNA from 1 species